rnacentral:lncRNA from 1 species
CCAAUCCUGCUGUCCCCAACCCCAAUCCUGCUGUCCCCAACCCAAACCCUUCUAUAAUCCCUAAUCCUCUUGUCCCCAACUCCAAUCCUGCUGUCCCCAACCCCAAUCCUGCUGUAAUACCUAAUCCUGCUGUCCCCAACCCCAAUCCUCCUGUCCCCAACCCCAAUCCUGCUGUCCCCAACCCCAAUCCUGCUGUCCCCAACCCCAAUCCUGCUAUAAUCCCUAAUCCUGCUGUCCCCAACCCCAAUCCAGCUGUCCCCAACCCCAAUCCUUCUGCCCCAUCCCAAAUCCUGCUGUAAUCCCUAAUUCUGCUGUCCCCAACCCCAAUUCUUCUGUCCCCCACCCCAAUCCUGCUGUAAUCCCUAAUCCUGUUGUCCCCCAACCCCAAUCCUGCUAUCCCCAACCCCAAUCCUUCUGUCCCCAACCCCAGUCCUGCUGUAAUCCCUAAUCCUGCUGUCCCCAACCCCAGUUCUUCUGUCCCCCACCCCAAACCUGCUGUAAUCCCUAAUCCUGCUGUCCCCAACCCCAAUCCUGCUGUACCCCACCCCAAUCCUGCUGUCCCUGACCACCCAUCCUGCUGCCCCCAACCUUUUAUCCUGCCAUAACCCCAAAUCCUGCCAUCCCUGACCCCAUACGUCCUCUAGAACUGUCCCCUAGCCAAAAAAAGACCCCAAAUUUCCCCCAAGUCACCCCACCUCAGGACAGAGGUUGUGCUGGUGGCAAGCAGAGUGGUGUGUGUGUAUGUGUGUGGGGGGGAAGUGGCACUGGGACCUACCUGGCAGUGGGACCCGCUGUCCCCUUCUGUCCCCAGGGGUCCUGGGGGGGCUCUGCGUCGCGGUGACACCGCCGCUGUCCCCAGGCUCACAUCCAGACCACGCUGCGCGACUCCUCCUGGCUCGGCAUCAGGGACGAGGAGCUGGAGGGCACCUGGAAACGGGCGAAUGGGUCCAUCCUGACCCGGGAACGCGGCUCGUGGCACUGGAGCGAGCCCAACGGCGGGCAGCGGGAGAACUGCGCGGUGGUGCGCGUGGACGGGAUGUGGUACGAUUACCCCUGCAGCAGCCAGAUGCCCUGGGUGUGCGAGGGGCAGCCCUGGGCGUGCGAGGGGAACCCCUGAAGCGUGCGGGGGGUCCCCUCCAGGUGUCCCCCCCCCCCCCCCCAAGACCCACGUCCCAUCAGCCCGCUUCCUUCCGCUUGGUACAUCCGACCCGCAGCGCCGUGGGAUGAGGUUCCGACCUCCCAGUGCCUCCGUUUUGGGGUCUGGAUGGAUGCCCCGAGUAAAAUUUGGGGUCCCCGCGGGGCAAUAAACGUGUGUGCAGAGUGAGAUCCCGCUGCA